GAUGAACGCUAGCGGGAGGCUUAACACAUGCAAGUCGUGGGGCAGCACGGGGUAGCAAUACUCUGGUGGCGACCGGCGCACGGGUGAGUAACGCGUAUGCAACCUACCCAGUACAGGGGGAUAGCCCGGAGAAAUUCGGAUUAAUACCCCAUAAUGAUAUAGAGAGGCAUCUUUUUAUAUUUAAAGCUUCGGCGGUACUGGAUGGGCAUGCGUAAGAUUAGCUAGUUGGUAGGGUAACGGCCUACCAAGGCUCCGAUCUUUAGGGGUCCUGAGAGGGUGAUCCCCCACACUGGUACUGAGACACGGACCAGACUCCUACGGGAGGCAGCAGUGAGGAAUAUUGGUCAAUGGGCGCAAGCCUGAACCAGCCAUCCCGCGUGAAGGAAGAAGGCGCUAUGCGUUGUAAACUUCUUUUCCGGAGGAAUAAAAUCUUGUACGUGUACAGGACUGAAGGUACUCCGGGAAUAAGCAUCGGCUAACUCCGUGCCAGCAGCCGCAGUAAUAC
rnacentral:rRNA from 1 species